GGUAGUCUCGGCCCUAAACGAUGAUCACUAGGUGUCGGGGGGUUUCCCUCGGUGCCGCAGCUAACGCAUUAAGUGAUCCGCCUGGGGACUACGGCCGCAAGGUUGAAACUCAAAGGAAUUGGCGGGGGCCCGCACAAGCGGUGGAGCAUAUGGCUUAAUUCGAUGCAACGCGAAGAACCUUACCCAGGCUUGACAUGUACCUGCAAGCUCCCCAAAAGGAGCCGCUUUCGAAGGUGGUACACAGGUGGUGCAUGGCUGUCGUCAGCUCGUGUUGUGAAAUGUUGGGUUAAGUCCCGCAACGAGCGCAACCCUCAUGUUAUGUUGCCAGCGAGUAAUGUCGGGAACUCGUAACAAACUGCCUAUGUAAAUAGGAGGAAGGUGGGGAUGACGUCAAGUCAUCAUGCCCCUUACGCCUGGGGCUGCACAUAUGCUACAAUGGGUGCUACAAACGGUUGCGAUCCCGCGAGGGCUAGCUAAUCUGAAAAAAGCAUUCUCAGUUCGGAUUGGAGUCUGCAACUCGACUCCAUGAAGCCGGAAUCGCUAGUAACCGCAGGUCAGCAUUACUGCGGUGAAUACGUUCCCGGGCCUUGCACACACCGCCCGUCACGUGACGAAAGUUGGUUUUGCCCGAAGUCGUUGAGCUAACCGCAAGGAAGCAGACGCCGAAGGUAAAGCCGAUGAUUGGCGCGAAGUCGUAACAAGGUAGCCGUAUCGGAAGGUGC
rnacentral:rRNA from 1 species